CUGGACACAAUCCACUGGCUGGACACAGAGGAAGGAACACCAGGACGGUACGACAGGAGAGGAGAGUAGAGGAGAGAAAAGAAAAGAAAGAAGGAGAGAGAGACACAGAUAGGUAAGAUAGGGACUGGAGGAGAGGACAGCAGCCCAGGUGGGAAGGAAGGAAGGAAGGAAGAAAGGGGAGAGAGAGGUUGAUGACUGCUACAGGAAUGUUGGGGUCUGGUUGAGGGCCUGGUUGAGGGCCUGGUUGAGGGACUGGUUGAGGUGUGUUGGCUGUGUCACUGUCAGUGGGAAUUUAGUUUGGAGUUAUGGCCACCAGGUGUGGCUGAGUUAUGUUGUGUUUGUGGAGAUCUGUUGGCUGUGAGGAACUGUUGCUGGGCAGCUUUUCCAGUUAACCUUUUUUUUAUUUCAAUACAUUGAAAGUACUUUUCUAGAAGUUCUGCGAAUUGAUAAAAGUGAAAGGCUCCUGAUUGUUCAAUAGGUGAUUCUGAUGUUUGCUACAAGUAGAUUGUGACGAAUUGACUAUAAUAUUACUGUUGUGACCAAGGAAUCUUUUAAUCUCUGUAAAAACCUAAAUACUCAUAAUCAAAUAUCUUAGAGUCACAUGUUCUGUGCUCUCUCUCACCAUCAAAUCCCCCUGAUUUGCUGUACCAUGUGAGCUGAGAGUGGGGUGGGGGACAGGGGACAGGGGGACAGGGAGACAGGGAGACAGGCGGAGCAGCAGGUGUUGGAACAGUUGUUAGGUAAUGUCUAUCUGUGGUUUAUGACGUUGGGACAACGACACUCUGGACCACUAGCAGGAUGAGGAGCAGAAAGGAGAGGGGUAUUCUGCGGAGAGGGGAUGAGAAGGGGGUGCAAUCUAGAGGCCUGUUUGCUGAGGUGUCACACGGUUCCUGUCUUUGAUCAACAGUGUGGUGUCAGGAAAGUGAGGACCAUGUUAGCUGUUGGUUUGCCUUUGUCUUGUUAGAUUCUUUAAGGUUCCUAGAAUGCUUUUAGGUUCUUAGAAUGCUUUUAGGUUCUUAGAAUGCUUUUAGGUUCCUAGAAUGCUUUUAGGUUCCCAAAAUUCAUUGCAGAGAAGGGAAAGAUGUAGUAAGGUAGGAUUUAAAAUGUUCAGUGGAGCCAGCUUUCUGGAUGGAGUUUAGUAGAGAGUGCAACAAGGAUAGACUGUCUGAAUGACCUAUAUCCACACUACGAUGGAGACAUGGAAGACUCUGGGAUGUGGAUGAGACCAUAAAUCGCAGUAAAGCCGUGGGCCGGGCCUGUCAGGGAGGACAUCCUGUCGUUGCCUCCUGUGAAGACAUGCUUCCUUAUAUCCCCAUAUGAAUACUGCCGUUAUGGAAUGAACAAGAGGACGAUGUGGGACUCUGACAUCAUGGAUCCAAAAUAUCAUCUCCACUACCCUCCUGUCUGUCUCUCUUUCUUCCUCUCCUCGCCCCUGUCCUAUCUCCUUCCUCCUCUCUUUCUUUCUU